CCUACGGGAGGCAGCAGUGAGGAAUAUUGGACAAUGGGCGCAAGCCUGAUCCAGCCAUGCCGCGUGCAGGAUGACGGUCCUAUGGAUUGUAAACUGCUUUUGCACAGGAAGAAACAACGCUACGUGUAGCGUCUUGACGGUACUGUGAGAAUAAGGAUCGGCUAACUCCGUGCCAGCAGCCGCGGUAAUACGGAGGAUCCAAGCGUUAUCCGGAAUCAUUGGGUUUAAAGGGUCCGUAGGCGGUUUAGUAAGUCAGUGGUGAAAGCCCAUCGCUCAACGGUGGAACGGCCAUUGAUACUGCUAGACUUGAAUUAUUAGGAAGUAACUAGAAUAUGUAGUGUAGCGGUGAAAUGCUUAGAGAUUACAUGGAAUACCAAUUGCGAAGGCAGGUUACUACUAAUGGAUUGACGCUGAUGGACGAAAGCGUGGGUAGCGAACAGGAUUAGAUACCCUGGUAGUCCACGCCGUAAACGAUGGAUACUAGCUGUUGGGAGCGAUCUCAGUGGCUAAGCGAAAGUGAUAAGUAUCCCACCUGGGGAGUACGUUCGCAAGAAUGAAACCUUAAAGUAGAAUUAGACGGNGUAGAGACGNGACCGAGGACACGACGGAGGGGUAGAGG
rnacentral:rRNA from 1 species